rnacentral:rRNA from 1 species
AUUGAACGCUGGCGGCAUGCCUUACACAUGCAAGUCGAACGGCAGCACGGGAGCAAUCCUGGUGGCGAGUGGCGAACGGGUGAGUAAAGCAUCGGAACGUGCCCAGUCGUGGGGGAUAACGUAGCGAAAGCUACGCUAAUACCGCAUACGAUCUGUGGAUGAAAGCGGGGGACCGUAAGGCCUCGCGCGAUUGGAGCGGCCGAUGUCAGAUUAGGUAGUUGGUGAGGUAAAGGCUCACCAAGCCGACGAUCUGUAGCUGGUCUGAGAGGACGACCAGCCACACUGGGACUGAGACACGGCCCAGACUCCUACGGGAGGCAGCAGUGGGGAAUUUUGGACAAUGGGCGCAAGCCUGAUCCAGCAAUGCCGCGUGCAGGAUGAAGGCCUUCGGGUUGUAAACUGCUUUUGUACGGAGCGAAAAGGCUUCCACUAAUACUGGGGGCUCAUGACGGUACCGUAAGAAUAAGCACCGGCUAACUACGUGCCAGCAGCCGCGGUAA